CAGUAAAUAUAGAGUAGAGGGGAAUGGAUCUGGGUGGGCUACUCUUCAGAGGUUCGGUGUGGCCUCGUUAGGCUGAAGAUUCUAAACAUCAGCAGCAUAUUCUCAGUCACGGAGAAGUGGAGCAGAGGCAGCUGUGAGACUUGGCUGCGAUAUCAUCACACAGAGCUGGGGAAACUAACCGACAGACUGGAAAACUCGGAGAAAACAAGCGUGGGGACAAACGGGGCCACUCCCGACACCUCCGCGGGC